GCGGCCGCGGGGUGCGCGCCUCCCGCGCGACCCCGCUGGUCUGAGGGGCGUGGUCCGAAGGGCCGGAAGGCCCCAGGCUGGGGUCCUGGCCCAGCUGCUGCACCGGAAAGGAGGGGCGGGCACCCGGGAGCGGGGAGAUAUUGAGGAGGGGGCUGAGGAGGUGACCUGAGGAGAAGGUGCUCGCGAGGGAGAGCAGGCUUCAGGGCAGACGAUCUGGAGGUGAGAAGUCCAAGAUCAAGAGUCAGCAGAGGUGGUUUCUUCUAAGGAGCCUGAGGGAAGAAUCUGUUCCAGGCCUCUCUCCUUGACUUGGUCUUCCUUAUACCAGUAAGCAUGUAGCUGAGCUACUGACUGCCCCAGAGUCUCCAAUCCAUACUUCCUGAUGAAAACUUGAUCCACGUCCAUGCAGAAGAGAAAAUCAACUUCAUAUUGGAUAUGGUCUUCAACGUGUUCACUGAUAGACUUCAUGCGCAUCAUACUGAUAUCUUGCCAUCGCUUCUCUCGCUUGAUUUUAAACACUUUGAUCGAACGGAGGCGACUCAGCUGUAUCCAAGGCAUUCUGGAGAAGUCAUCUAUCAGGACAUAAAUUAUGACUUUAUGGCCAACCAUGAAAAACUUAUCUGCAGAGAACAUAAAUUUCUUCAAAUAGUGGUCAAUGUAUCUGUGAAGCAAAUAAGAAAUAACUGAGUUCAUUAUCUUACAUUUUGGUGAAACACGUACUACUUUAAUUAUCCUGGCUUGUCCAAACAUACUAGUAAGCAAACCAAAUAUUAGAAGUACUUCUUGAGUUAUAGUUAAGUGGUGUAAAAGCAAGUGAAGUCAUCUGCUUUUCCUCUCCCUGACGAGGUUCUGCGAAUUAUAGGAAAGAAGAGGACUUCCUCAUGAGGGGGAAUGAAACUUGGUGAGGUCAGGAAACAGCAUCGAGCCCAGGGCAAGAUGACAGCCAGAGCCUUCAGGGUGAUCAGAGAAGAGGGACUUUGCUUUUCAGGUUGUAGGCAAGAAGGUCUUGAGGCAUUGCAAGAAUAGCGAGUAAUGUCUGCGGCUUGCUUUAUGAGGAGUCAGUUACAUAGAAAAGGUCACAGGUAGCCUAGUCAGCUACCGCUAUCUGCACUCUCUUGUUUUGCCUCAUGCUCUUUAAUAUAAUGCUAAGUUUGCAGGAUUAGAAAACAAAACUUUCUCAUUUCUCAUCCCUCCAAACAGUGAAAAUUAUCAGAACAAUACAUGAUCUGAGGUAACUUAAGAAAAGGAUGGGCGAUCAUACACGCCUCAGCCUCAAAUAAUAUUUAUAUAAUCCUUAAAAAUAAGUUCUGAAUAUUGACCUAAGUUUUAAGAAACAUAGUGGAUGGAGUCAGGAGAAAACUUUCUAGUUUGGAUUAUCUAAAACAUCUAAAUAAUUAAAGCAAGAUAAAUUAUGAAAAAUAUCACUUAAAAUAGUCUACUGAGUUGGAAACUAACAACUCAAGUGCAAAGAAAUACAAUUUAUCCACACUUUAUCCACAUUUUUUAUGGUUCAUGCUUUGGUGUUAUGUUUCAGAAAUCGUUUCCUGCCUAAAGUAGUGAAAAUAUGCUCCUAUGUUUUCCUCUAGUUGCUUUAUUGUUUUAACUUUCAUAUUAAGUUGGUUAUCCAUGUGAAUGAAUUUUUGUGUAUGACAUA